UGGCACAUAGCUGCCAUUGAAAUGGUUGCGCACCGUAAUGGGGUGUCGGGGGUCGGAGGUUCAAAUCCUCUCGUGCCGACCA
rnacentral:tRNA from 1 species